GUAGUUGAGAAUGGAGUGUACUACUGUGCAAAGAAAGAAAACGAUAGUCUCCUAUUCAGCAACGGCACCAGACUCAUGACCACUGCCUCAGAGCAACCCAGAAACUUCAACGCAACGUGGCUAAAAGGUCUUCUCAUUGGAUCCGGGGUCUUGAAUGCAGUUCUCAUUUUAUUGCCGUCAGCCAUUUUAGUGCUGUGGAAGAGAGCUGCUUGCCAGAAGAACCAUGACUCUCCUCCAACCCCUGAACCACCUGAAAGGGCAGACGGG